rnacentral:rRNA from 1 species
CGGAGGGUGCAAGCGUUAUCCGGAUUUAUUGGGUUUAAAGGGUGCGUAGGUGGAUUAGUAAGUCAGUGGUGAAAUCUCUGGGCUUAACCCAGAAACUGCCAUUGAUACUAUUAGUCUUGAAUACCGUGGAGGUCAGCGGAAUAUGUCAUGUAGCGGUGAAAUGCUUAGAUAUGACAUAGAACACCAAUUGCGAAGGCAGCUGGCUACACGAAUAUUGACACUCAGGCACGAAAGCGUGGGGAUCAAACAGGAUUAGAUACCCUGGUAGUCCACGCCCUAAACUAUGGAUACUCGACAUACGCGAUACACUGUGUGUGUCUGAGCGAAAGCAUUAAGUAUCCCACCUGGGAAGUACGAUCGCAAGAUUG